rnacentral:rRNA from 1 species
CCCUUAGAUGUUCUGGGCCGCACGCGCGCUACACUGUUCGACGCAGCGAGUCUUAACCUUGACCGAAAGGUUUGGGUAAUCUUCAGCAAAGUCGAACGUGAUGGGGAUCGAUCAUUGCAAUUAUUGAUCGUGAACGAGGAAUUCCUAGUAAGUGCAAGUCAUCAGCUUGCGCUGAUUACGUCCCUGCUCUUUGUACACACCGCCCGUCGCUACUACCGAUUGAAUGGUUUAGUGAGAUCUUCGGAUUGGCGCCACUGCAGCUCAGCAAUGGGCUUGGUGGAUGCCGAAAAGUUGAUCAAACUUGAUCAUUUAGAGGAAGUAAAAGUCGUAACA